rnacentral:rRNA from 1 species
UAGGGAAUCUUCCACAAUGGGCGCAAGCCUGAUGGAGCAACACCGCGUGAGUGAAGAAGGGUUUCGGCUCGUAAAGCUCUGUUGUUAAAGAAGAACACGUAUGAGAGUAAUUGUUCAUACGUUGACGGUAUUUAACCAGAAAGUCACGGCUAACUACGUGCCAG